GUAGCCGCAGCCAUCGCCGGUUACCUGGAGGAGGAGACGGGAGUAGUGUCGUCGCCGGAGAACCCAUCUCUGCCACCACCGCCCAGCUCCGCCUCGAACCAGCGACGCCGCACUCCCCCGCCCUCCGCUGCGUUGCGAACCAGUCCGGUCGCAUAAAGGAGGAGAGUCCGGCCUGAAGGAGAGAAGACAGCAGCAACCUCGUCGCCGGAGAAGACCGGCUCCGUUACCGCCGCCUGCCUCGUGUGCGUCCGUCGUCUCUCUGCUCUGCCGCACCGUUGCUCAGCCGGCCGAAACCAACACACUGCCGGAGCGCCAUUGUUGAAGGAGCAAGUUUUGCAAGUUUUGCAGAUUAUCAACUAACUAAGCUCGAUCUACAUGAGAGAAGUAGGAGUUGUGCAUCAGUGGUAAGAAACAAGUUUUUGAUUUAUAUAUUUACAAAUUACUCUUAGUUAUUGGAAAAACUAACUUAAUGAGAUUUUCUUUUACACUAUUCAUUUGGGCGGGAAUUUGAGAGCCAAAAUCAUUUUGCUUUAAUAUAUAUGUCGAAGCCGCCAUCACGGCCGUAACCAGCAACCCACCACCGCUGCCGACGCAUUCUGCCGCCACCAACCCACCACUGCCGCCGAAGCCACCAUCACUAGUAGCAUGUUGUCUUCAAUUUGAACUUAUUAAAGCCAGAGCUUCUUGACCUUCUUCCUUUGGUUUCACUUUUCUGAUGGAUGGUAUUAAUGAAGUUGCUUUGGAUAGGCUCUCAUUUGUCAUUGAAAUGACAAAAGAUAUCAAGGAAAAAGCGGACAUUGAUAGAAAACUUGGAUCACAACAUUUUGUCUGGUUGCUUAGGGUAAUUUCUAACCAAUCAUUUCUUAUUAUUAGAUAUUGCUUGGUAGAUCGCAGUGCUAACUUCUAAAGUCUUUCAUAAAACAAAACAUGACUUUUACAUGAAAUACAUGGAGCUUGCACUGCGUAAUGUUAAAGGUGAUGAGAAGGAUGUAUCUACUAAAAAUGAGGUAUUCUAUAUAAACACCUUCUGCAUAAAAAGUUGAUUUCUUCAUUUCUUGCAUUUAGUAUUUAGAUUCUUUCUUUUCGUAUAUUCAACAACUUUGAUGUUAACCAUUGUAGAUUAGGAAUUCCAUUUGUGGUUAUUUUCCCCUUGAGGGCGGGUUAUAUGUAUGCUGAUAUAAUGCUACUUUUUGUGUGCAAUUGAAUUAUGGUAAUAUAUAAUAUUAUUUUGAUUUCUUUUCUCUCUCCCAUGCAUGUAGGAGGAACCCCGGCCAGAAUUUAUGAAAGAUCUUUAUUCUCUGAAAAAAUUUGUCCUCAAACAAGUUGAGGAUCAAGUUAUUGUAACGACAAUGAUUGAAUCUAAUUUUGUUAGAGCUAUUCAAUGUUUCCUUGACAGUAUUGAUAAUAAUGUUGUUCCCAUAAUUAAGUUUUCAUGAGAGGUUAGUGUGACUUUGCAUGUUAGACCCUUAAUCCGAUAGGAUCACUUUGCAUGUUAGACCCCUAACUCGAUAGGAUCACAAGUUAUAAUUUUCGUUAUUGGCCUAUGAGAGACUAGAGACUGGAUUUGAAUGAGCGGUUCUGUUCUGUUCUCCCUAACUGUGAAUGAGGAGAAGCAAAACAUGAGACAGAGAGUGUGAAAGAGAUUUUAUUUCAAUUCCAACUCCCAUCUCCCUCUAGAGCAUGCUGCUACUUAGUUUAUAAAAGAGCUACAAUAGGAAAUAACAAUAUUAUGCUGGGAAUAUAAUGAAUCCUAAAUAUCUUAGUUGUUGAAAAUAAGAAAUCUAAUCCUGAUAAUUGAUCUACUGUAUCAUAUGCUGAUCUUAUGCUUCCUUCUAUAGUACUAUUUGCUAAUGUAUGCAUUAAUGACUCCUCGUAUUGUUAUUAUGUUUAUCUUGAGCUUUGUUAACUUUGUUAGAGUUUCACGAAAGUAAGGGGUAUGCUGAAGCUGUUAAGUUUUAUAUGUCGUCUUUUACUUUCGACCUUUUUACUUCUUUUGAAAAGGUAAGUGGUGUUGAUUCUUUAAUUUGAUAAUUUCUAAAUUCUAAUAUUUAGGUAAUUGUAGACUACAAAGAAAAUUCAGAAAUCCACGCGUAAAUUUAAUGAUCCUACAAUUCAAGUAACAUAUGUGAAGCAUUUUCAGCAGUUUAUUGAAAUGUAACAUCCAAUUCCCUUUCAAUAAACAGCUGAAAAUGCUUCACAUAUAUUACUUGAAUUGUAGGAUCAUUAAAUUUACGCGUGGAUUUCUGAAUUUUCUUUGUAGUUUGCAAUUACCUAAAUAUUAGAAUUUAGAAAUUAUCAGAUUAAAUAAUCCGUUGAUUGAAACACCACUUACCUUUUCAAAAGAAGUAAAAGGGUCAGAAGCAAAAGAAGACAUAUAAAACUUAACAGCUUCAGCAUAAGUUUUUCCACAUCUUGCUUCCGUGAAACUCUAACAAAGUCAACGAAGCUCUGGAUAAAUAUAAUAACAAUAUGAGGAGUCAUUAAUGCAUUCAUGGGCAAAUAGUACUAUAGAAUAAAACAUAAGAUCAACAUAUGAUACAGCAGAUCAAUCACCAGGAUUGAGAUUUUUUAUUUUCAACAACUAAGAUAUUUAGGAUUCAUUAUAUUCAAAGUAUAAUAUUGUUGCUUCCUAUUGUAGCUCUUUUGUAAAUUAAGUAGCAGCAAUAAAAUCUCUUUUACAAACUCUCUCUUUCAUGUUGCUUCUCCUCAUUCCCAGUUGGGAAGAACAAAACCGUUCAUUCAAAUCCAGUCACUAGUCUCUCAUAGGCCAAUAACGAAAAUUGUAACUUGUAAUCCUAUUGGAUUAGGGGUCUAACAUGCAAAGUGACCUAUAGACUUAAUUGUGGGAAAAACAUUAUCAUCAACACUCUUAAGAAAAUAUUGAAUAACUCUAACAAAAUUAGAUCCAGUCAUUGUCGUUACAAUAACUUGAUCCUCAAGCACAAAUUCUUUCAGAGAAUAAAGAUCUUUCAUAAAUUCUGGUUGGGGUUCCUCAUGCAUGCAUUUGCAUGAGAGAGAGAAAAGAAAUCAAAUUAAUAUUAUAUACUGCCAUAAUUCAAUUGCACACAAAAAGUAACAUUAUAUCAGCAUACAUAUAACCCACCUUCAAGGGGAAAAUAACCGCAAAUGGAAUUCCUAAUCUGCAACGGUUAGCAUCUUCGAAAAAGAAAGAAUCGAAAUACUAAAUGCAAGAAAUGAAGAAAUCAACUUUUUAUGCUUAAGGUGUUUAUAUAGAAUACCUCAUUUUUAGUAGAUACAUCCUUCCCAUCACCUUUAACAUUACGCAGUGCAAGCUCCAUGUAUUUCAAGUAAAAGUCUUGUUCUGAUUUAUGGAAGACUUUAAAAGUUAGCACUACGAUCUACCAAGCGAUAUCCAAUAAUAAGAAAUGAUAGGUUAGAAAUUACCCUAAGCAACCAAACAAAAUGCCGUUAUCUAAGCUAACUCUUUUUGCUUAUGCCUUUAUACUUACUGACAGUUUUGCUAGAGGGGAUUUCUUCCUCACUCUUCAUCUCUGUAGACAUUUUCUUCAACAAACCCAUUUCAACUUUCUUCAACAAACCUAUUUCUUCA